CCGCGCGGCGGGCGGGGCGGGGGCACGGGGGGAGGAAAGUAGGGGAUCGCAAGACCUUGCGCUUUUGGAGCGGCCGAUGUCUGAUUAGCUAGUUGGUGAGGUAAAGGCUUACCAAGGCUUCGAUCAGUAGCUGGUCUGAGAGGACGACCAGCCACACUGGGACUGAGACACGNNNCAGACUCCUACGGGAGGCAGCAGUGGGGAAUUUUGGACAAUGGGGGCAACCCUGAUCCAGCCAUGCCGCGUGAGUGAAGAAGGCCUUCGGGUUGUAAAGCUCUUUCAGCCGGAACGAAACGGUCACGGUUAAUANNCGUGANNNCUGACGGUACCCGAAGAAGAAGCACCGGCUAACUACGUGCCAGCAGCCGCGGUAAUACGUAGGGUNNNNGCNNNNNNNCGGAAUUACUGGGCGUAAAGCGUGCGCAGGCGGUUNGUAAGUUC
rnacentral:rRNA from 1 species